rnacentral:rRNA from 1 species
AGCAGUGAGGAAUAUUGGUCAAUAGCCUAACGGCUGAACCAGCAACUUGGAAGAAUGUAUAGCAAUAGCUGAUUGCACCAACAAACAGUUGAUGCAAGAUUGACUCUGUCAAAUAAAAUUCUAGGUAGUAUUAUGAUAAUGACAUUGUCUGCCUAUAAGUCUUGACCAAAUUACGUGCCAGCAGUCGCGGUAAUACGUAGAAGACUAGUGUUAUUCAUCUUUAAUUGGUUUAAAGGGUACCUAGACGGCAAAUAAAGCCUUCGCAGGGACUAAUUUGCUAGAGUUACUUGUGAGGGGGUAUUAAAGUACUGCAGGUGUAGAGAUGAAAUUCUGUCAUACCUCUUUUUGAAAGAAAAAUUAUGGCACAGGUAUAGGUGAAAACAUCCCCUUAUGUGAUAACUGACGUUGAAGGACGA